rnacentral:rRNA from 1 species
GACGAACGCUGGCGGCGUGCCUAAUACAUGCAAGUAGAACGCUGAAGGAGGAGCUUGCUUCUCCGGAUGAGUUGCGAACGGGUGAGUAACGCGUAGGUAACCUGCCUGGUAGCGGGGGAUAACUAUUGGAAACGAUAGCUAAUACCGCAUAACAGUAGAUAUCGCAUGAUAUCUGCUUGAAAGGUGCAAUUGCAUCACUACCAGAUGGACCUGCGUUGUAUUAGCUAGUUGGUGAGGUAACGGCUCACCAAGGCGACGAUACAUAGCCGACCUGAGAGGGUGAUCGGCCACACUGGGACUGAGACACGGCCCAGACUCCUACGGGAGGCAGCAGUAGGGAAUCUUCGGCAAUGGACGGAAGUCUGACCGAGCAACGCCGCGUGAGUGAAGAAGGGUUUCGGAUCGUAAAGCUCGGUUGUAAGAGAAGAACGAGUGUGAGAGUGGAAAGUUCACACUGUGACGGUAUCUUACCAGAAAGGGACGGCUAACUACGUG